rnacentral:ncRNA from 1 species
AAUCGGUUCCACGACAAAGAAGGACGUGUCCUCACAGUCGCACCGAGGGGAAUGAACCACGGCAAAAGCACUUUAAGUGGAAAGCCGAAACAGCAAGUGUCGGGUAGAGUUUGGUAGGCCACACCAAGGCUCGAAGAACUCAGGCCCG